rnacentral:rRNA from 1 species
GACUAACGCCGGCGUCGAGCCUAACACAUGCAAGUCGAACGGAAAGGCUCUGCUUUUGUGGGGUGCUCGAGUGGCGAACGGAUGAGUAACACGUGAGUAACCUGCCCUUGACUUUGGGAUAACUUCAGGAAACUCGGACUCAUACCGGCUAGGAGCUCCUGCUGCAUGGUCGGGGUUGGAAAGUUUCGGCGGAUGGGGAUGGACUCGCGGCUCAUCAGCUUGUUGGUGGGGUAGUGGCUUACCAAGGCUUUGACGUGUAGCCGGCCUGAGAGGGUGACCGGCCACAUUGGGACUGAGAUACGGGCCAGACUCCUACGGGAGGCAGCAGUGGAGAAUAUUGCACAAUGGGCGGAAGCCUGAUGCAGCAACGCCGCGUGCGGGAUGACGGCCUUCGGGUUGUAAACCGCUUUCGCCUGUGACGAAGCGUGAGUGACGGUAAUGGGUAAAGAAGCACCGGCUAACUACGAG